CAAUAGCGUAUAUUAAAGUUGUUGCAGUUAAAAAGCUCGUAGUUGGAUUUCGGGGUGGCCUGGCUGGUCCGCCGCAAGGUGAGUACUGGUCAGCCGCCCUUCCUCUCGAAAGCCCCGACUGCUCUUUACUGCAGUGGUCGGGUAGUUCGGGACGUUUACUUUGAAAAAAUUAGAGUGUUCAAGGCAGGCUAUCACCUGAAUACAUUAGCAUGGAAUAAUGGAAGAGGACCUCGGUCCUAUUUUGUUGGUUUCUAGGGCCGAAGUAAUGAUUAAGAGGGACAGUUGGGGGCAUUCGUAUUUAAUUGUCAGAGGUGAAAUUCUUGGAUUUAUGAAAGACGAACUAGUGCGAAAGCAUUUGCCAAGGAUGUUUUCAUUAA
rnacentral:rRNA from 1 species